AGAGUUUGAUCCUGGCUCAGGAUGAACGCUAGCGGCAGGCCUAAUACAUGCAAGUCGGACGGUAGCCGACCCUUCGGGGCCGGCGAGAGUGGCGGACGGGUGCGUAACGCGUAUGCAACCAACCCCCCACAGCGGGACAGCCGGUGGAAACGCCGGGCAAUCCCGCAUGCCGCCGUGUCGGGGCAUCCCGGCAUGGCGAAAGGCUACGGCCGGUGGGGGACGGGCAUGCGUGCCAUUAGCUGGUUGGCGGGGCGACGGCCCACCAAGGCGACGAUGGCUAGGGGAUCUGAGAGGACGGUCCCCCACACUGGUACUGAGACACGGACCAGACUCCUGCGGGAGACAGCAGUAAGGGAUAUUGGGCAAUGGGGGGAACCCUGACCCAGCCAUGCCGCGUGAGGGAAUGGGGCCCUACGGGUCGUGAACCUCUUUUGCCGGGGGACAACGGCGGUGUCGAGAACGCCGCGUGCGGGUACCCGGCGAAUAAGCGUCGGCUAACUCCGUGCCAGCAGCCGCGGUAAUACGGAGGACGCGAGCGUUAUCCGGAUUCAUUGGGUUUAAAGGGUGCGCAGGCGGCCUGCCAAGUCAGCGGUGAAAGCCCGGGGCCCAACCCCGGAAGUGCCGUUGAUACUGUCGGGCUGGAAUGCGGUCGAGGCGGGCGGAACGUGGCGUGUAGCGGUGAAAUGCGUAGAUAUGCCACAGGACGCCGAUAGCGGAGGCAGCUCGCCAGGCCUGCAUUGACGCUCGGGCACGAAAGCGUGGGGAUCGAACAGGAUUAGCUACCCUGGUAGUCCACGCCGUAAA
rnacentral:rRNA from 1 species